UACGGAGGGUGCAAGCGUUGUCCGGAUUUAUUGGGUUUAAAGGGUGCGUAGGCGGCCUAAUAAGUCAGUGGUGAAAGCCUCCAGCUUAACUGGAGAACUGCCAUUGAUACUGUUAGGCUUGAGUAUACUUGAGGUAGGCGGAAUUGACAGUGUAGCGGUGAAAUGCAUAGAUAUUGUCAAGAACACCAAUUGCGAAGGCAGCUUACUAAAUUAUAACUGACGCUGAGGCACGAAAGUGUGGGUAUCAAAC
rnacentral:rRNA from 1 species